CCGGAAUAGCUCAGUUGGUCUAGAGCAGAGGACUGAAAAUCCUCGUGUCACC
rnacentral:tRNA from 1 species